rnacentral:rRNA from 1 species
AUUGAACGCUGGCGGCAUGCCUUACACAUGCAAGUCGAACGGUAACAGGUUAAGCUGACGAGUGGCGAACGGGUGAGUAAUGCAUCGGAACGUGCCCGAUCGUGGGGGAUAACGCAGCGAAAGCUGCGCUAAUACCGCAUACGAUCUGAGGAUGAAAGCGGGGGACCGUAAGGCCUCGCGCGACCGGAGCGGCCGAUGUCAGAUUAGGUAGUUGGUGGGGUAAAGGCUCACCAAGCCAACGAUCUGUAGCUGGUCUGAGAGGACGACCAGCCACACUGGGACUGAGACACGGCCCAGACUCCUACGGGAGGCAGCAGUGGGGAAUUUUGGACAAUGGGCGAAAGCCUGAUCCAGCAAUGCCGCGUGCAGGAAGAAGGCCUUCGGGUUGUAAACUGCUUUUGUACGGAGCGAAAAGGUCCCCUCUAAUACAGGGGGCUCAUGACGGUACCGUAAGAAUAAGCACCGGCUAACUACGUGCCAGCCGCCGCAGUAA